rnacentral:rRNA from 1 species
GACGAACGCUGGCGGCGUGCUUAACACAUGCAAGUCGAACGGAGAGGCCCGGCUUUUGUGGGGUGCUCGAGUGGCGAACGGGUGAGUAACACGUGAGUAACCUGCCCUUGACUUUGGGAUAACUUCUGGAAACGGGGGCUAAUACCGGAUAGGAGCUGCGGCGGCAUGUUGGGGGGUGGAAAGGAUCGGCGGUCGGGGAUGGGCUCGCGGCUUAUCAGCUUGUUGGUGGGGUAGUGGCUUACCAAGGCGUUGACGGGUAGCCGGCCUGAGAGGGUGACCGGCCACAUUGGGACUGAGACACGGCCCAGACUCCUACGGGAGGCAGCAGUGGGGAAUAUUGCACAAUGGGCGAAAGCCUGAUGCAGCAACGCCGCGUGCGGGACGACGGCCUUCGGGUUGUAAACCGCUUUUGGCUGUGACGAAGCGUAAGUGACGGUACUGGCUAAAGAGGCACGGGCUAACUACGUG